GCGCCACAAACCGUACUUGAAAAGUGGCAGAUUUGCUCACUUGCCCAAAAAAUAAAAUAGUUCUCUUAACAGAUCGAGUGAACGAAACGUCUUAACACGUGAAUCAUCUUCCUUCCAGGGUUCUCGAACCUUGUCUCUCUCAGAGGAGAUAUCUGCCUAAAUAUUACUACUGCGCCUCAGUCUCUUCAUGCAACACCUGCAGGGAACAUCGCUAGAAGGAAAUAUCAUGUGGUGGAGGACAGCGCCAUGUGGACGGGAGUAAUGGCCCUGCGCACCGCUGCUGUUGGAUACGUGCCCACUUCUUAUCUAAAGUUCGUGGAGGAGCGCCAUCUGUGGCUGACCACCGCCGGUCAGAAG
rnacentral:misc_RNA from 1 species